rnacentral:rRNA from 1 species
AGAGUUUGAUCCUGGCUCAGGACGAACGCUGGCGGCGUGCUUAACACAUGCAAGUCGAACGGAAAGGCCCUUCGGGGUACUCGAGUGGCGAACGGGUGAGUAACACGUGGGUGAUCUGCCCUGCACUUUGGGAUAAGCCUGGGAAACUGGGUCUAAUACCGAAUAUGACCAUGCGCCUCCUGGUGUGUGGUGGAAAGCUUUUGCGGUGUGGGAUGGGCCCGCGGCCUAUCAGCUUGUUGGUGGGGUAAUGGCCUACCAAGGCGACGACAGGUAGCCGGCCUGAGAGGGUGACCGGCCACGCUGGGACUGAGAUACGGCCCAGACUCCUACGGGAGGCAGCAGUGGGGAAUAUUGCACAAUGGGCGCAAGCCUGAUGCAGCGACGCCGCGUGAGGGAUGACGGCCUUCGGGUUGUAAACCUCUUUCAGCAGGGACGAAGCGCAAGUGACGGUACCUGUAGAAGAAGGACCGGCCAACUACGUGCCAGCAGCCGCGGUAAUACGUAGGGUCCGAGCGUUGUCCGGAAUUACUGGGCGUAAAGAGCUCGUAGGUGGUUUGUCGCGUUGUUCGUGAAAACUCACAGCUCAACUGUGGGCGUGCGGGCGAUACGGGCAGACUUGAGUACUGCAGGGGAGACUGGAAUUCCUGGUGUAGCGGUGGAAUGCGCAGAUAUCAGGAGGAACACCGGUGGCGAAGGCGGGUCUCUGGGCAGUAACUGACGCUGAGGAGCGAAAGCGUGGGGAGCGAACAGGAUUAGAUACCCUGGUAGUCC